CGGAAUAUUUACGUUGUGUGUCCUUAAGGGGUUAAUUCUCCUAUUGCAUUGCUGUCCAUUACAACAGCUUGGUUUGGUUUAUGCGCAGUUUCCUGGUGUUUGUGAGCAUAGAAACCACAGAAAGGGCUGGUCUGCCUGCACUCAGUAUAUUACACUCAGGAAAACAAGUCAGAUCAGGUCCCUGCAGACACGGCAAGUAAUUCUGGAUAUGUAGAGUUUACUUGGUCUGAAUAUUCC